UCUGACCUCAAAUCAGGUAGGAUUACCCGCUGAACUUAAGCAUAUCAAUAAGCGGAGGAAAAGAAACUAACAAGGAUUCCCUUAGUAACUGCGAGUGAAGUGGGAAAAGCUCAAAUUUAAAAUCUGGCAGUCUGAUUUUUUAUCUUUGGCUGUCCGAGUUGUAAUCUAGAGAAGUGCUACCUGUACUGGACCAUGUAUAAGUCUCCUGGGAUGGAGCAUCAUAGAGGGUGAGAAUCCCGUCUUUGACAUGGACUGCCGGUGUGUUGUGGUGUACUUUCAAAGAGUCGGGUUGUUUGGGAAUGCAGCUCUAAAUGGGUGGUAAACUCCAUCUAAAGCUAAAUAUUGGCGAGAGACCGAUAGCGAACAAGUACCGUGAGGGAAAGAUGAAAAGUACUUUGGAAAGAGAGUUAAACAGUAUGUGAAAUUGUUGAAAGGGAAACACUUGAUGUCAGUUGUGUUAGCUAGGGAUCAGCCCAGCAUUUUUGCUGGGUGAACUUCCUGGUCUGACAGGCCAACAUCAGUUUUGACUGGCAGAAAAAGGUAGAAGGAAUGUGGCACCUUUUAGGUGUGUUAUAGCCUUCUGUCAGAUGUGGCAGUUGAGACUGAGGGAUGCAGCGCGCCGUAAGGCUGGGUUUCGACCACGCCCGUGCUUAGGAUGUUGGCUUAAUGGCAUCAAUUGACCCGUCUUGAAACACGGACCAAGGAGUCUAACAUGCCUGCGAGUAUUUGGGUGGACAAACCCUUGUGCACAAUGAAAGUGAAAAUUGAGAUCCCUGUCAUGGGGAGCAUUGAUGCCCGGACCUGAGCUUUUAGCGAUGGAUCUGCGGUAAAGCAUGCAUGUUGGGACCCGAAAGAUGGUGAACUAUGCCUGAAUAGGGUAAAGCCAGAGGAAACUCUGGUGGAGGCUCGUAGCGAUUCUGACGUGCAAAUCGAUCGUCGAAUUUGGGU
rnacentral:rRNA from 1 species